rnacentral:misc_RNA from 1 species
UCUUUAGAAUUGGAAAUAGAGACAAGAAGUUGGAUAAGAGAGAAAAUGGGGGAGAGAGAGAGAUUUAUGAAAUGAAUCCGACCAAAACUGAGAAGGGAAAGAGCAAGUGUUAAAGGAGAGUCCCUACCUCCAAUAUGAGGACGAGCUCCAAAUUGCGUGCGUAGGAAAAAGGAGGAGUCGUGUCUAAUGCUGCAUCUCUACUCGUGUGUGUUUUGUUUUGUGGGUCUCUCUUCUCUCUCUAUCUUUUGUCUCUUCUUUUCAUUUCUUGAGUCUCUCCCUAACCUUCUAAUUAUUAGCUUCUCUUUGUUCCCUCUUGCACUCGUGGCCUUAUUCUAGCCUCUCCCUUUACAUAACACGGCUCACACACGCUCACAUUUCCUUUUCUUUUUUCUACUUUUAAAACGAUAGAUCAAUUUAUUAAUCUUGAGUUUAACCAUUUCUUUGUUUAGCUUGCAUGUCGACUUUGUUGCCUUUUUAGUUAAUCAUUCCACUUUUAGUUGCAUCUUUCACGUCUGCUUUGUUUAUGAUUUGAUAUUAUAAUUAGACUUAAGAAAAACUUUAAAACUCUCUUUAGUUUUCUUCUUCUUAGCUUAGUGUGUAUUCUCGGCCGCAUGUCUAUUUAGUUUGUACAAAUUUAGUAGUUUUGGAUUUGACUCUUGUAGUAAUGCAACUACAAACACAUUUUACUGCGCAUUUGCCGUUUAUCAAUUCAGGAUUUAAAUCCAGAGUCAUGAUACUCUAUUUCUUUUUUUUUGGUUUAAAUGAUACUCUCUUUCUAAUAUCAACAAACCAAACUUUCAACCAUUAGUCUAUUAAGGAUGCUUUAACUCGAAAAAUUAACAUGCAGUAAAGUUUUAAUGACUCCCAGCUACAUUCAUAAAUUUAUUCUCAAUCCAUGAUUCGUUGAUUAUUAAAACUUUUACAGUUACAAAUGUACUUUAUUUUGCAUGUGAGUAUAACAACGUCAUAUUUAACAUCUUCUUUGACUAGUUUUAUAUGAUUUAUAGUAGCUAAAAAAAGCUUGAUUGAGUUAUUAUAUUACACAUGAGUAUUGGACUAGUGGUGAGUAUUAGACCCCUCCAAAAGAACGCGUAGUCGAGCCUAUCCGAAAAUUUGAUCGAAUUCAAUUAUUUAGUUAUAACGAGAACUUACCCCAAAAUUUGAUCAAAUUCGAUUAUUUAGUUAUAACGAGAACAGUUAUGAGUUUCGAUCUAGAAUUCCUUUGAUUAACCACCUUGAUUAACUAUGAUAGUGAAAUAGUUGUGUUCAUCAUCUAAACCUUGGGUUUGUUGUGCGACUUAUACCUAAUUUGUCUAUAAAAACUAGCCUUCUAUGAUGUUUGUUUAACGUAGUUUUUUUUCUACAGAAAAGGACGGGUUACGACUUACGAAUGCGGAAAUAAAAUGUUUAUAAACUAUUUUUGGAAUAGACCACUGUAGAUUCACAACGUCUAAGUGUGGUUAGGACUACAAGGCUACAAGCUGAUAAAGUCUCAGACACUAACUUUCAUGGGGUCUCGCUCUCUAAUCAAAACUAUUGUGGAUAGAUUCUUAUCGAAGAAAAAUGCAUUAUUCGAAUCUGUCAUUAAGUUGACAAUACGUGUAUAUAUUUCCAGACUUACAUGCAAUGAACAGUUUUAUUUAUUUAUUUUAUAUACACUGAAACAGCAGGAUUAGAUGGGGUUGCAAUGGUUUUGUGUUGGUAGCGAGACGAAAACGACAGCGUUUUUGUUCUGGAGAGCGAUACGGAAAGUAACAUGACAGGACAGUUGAGAGGAAACUCAUCGUUUUCUCUUAAGUGAACAGUUAAGUUUGUUCCCUUUUUUCUUUUGCUUUAAUAUUUGGGGUCAUAGAUCUGUCUCUUUUACCCCAUUUACUCUUUAUAGC